CUUUACAAUACAGCUCCUUUACACACCACUGAUACCCUUCAUGGUGGUUGUACCCAAUUCUACAGCUAUUAAAAGUGUACCCAGAAAUCGGGUCUCUUUAGGACUUGGCCAUUUCUGGCUGUCUCAGUAGUGAAGCAUCAAAGAAAUCGUGAUGAGAAGGCACAGACCGCACAGACUACUGGCCCAGCACCCACAUACCUAUCAACCUCAGCCAGCCAUGGACCUCAAUUUAAGGAGUACAUACCACAACUGCAGCAUAUCCCCUAUGACCCUGUUUACCAAUAGCCCAAACAGGCUCCCAGGG